rfam:Capsicum annuum cultivar Zunla-1 chromosome 1, whole genome shotgun sequence
ACUUCAUGGUUUGAGCAUUGCAUAAUUUUAUCCUUGAACCCUUGCCACACUUCAUAUAAAGGGUCACCACUAUAUUGACAAAAAUUUAUGAUUUCAUCCCUUAAUUU